rnacentral:rRNA from 1 species
GACGAACGCUGGCGGCGUGCUUAACACAUGCAAGUCGAACGAAGUGGCGAACGGGUGAGUAACGCGUAAUCAACCGGCCCUUCAGGGGGGAACACCAGUUGGAAACGACUGCUAAUACCCAAUACUGAAGGAGGGGUUUGCGUCUGAUUAGCUAGUCGGAGGGGUAACGGCUCAACAAGGCGAUGAUCAGUAGGCGGGCUGGGAGGAUGAACGACCACAUUGGGACUGAGACACGGGCCAGACUCCUACGGGAAGGAGCAAGGGGGAAACUUUCGACAUGGACGAAAGUCUGACGGAGCAACGCCGCGUGAGUGAUGACGGCCUUCGGGUUGUAAAGCUCUGUUAAUCGGGACGCGGUACCGGAAUAGAAAGCCACGGCUAACUACGUGCCAGCAGCCGCGGUAAUUC